rnacentral:rRNA from 1 species
GAUGAACGCUAGCUACAGGCUUAACACAUGCAAGUCGAGGGGUAACGAGAGGAAAGCUUGCUUUCCUUGUUGACGACCGGCGCACGGGUGAGUAACGCGUAUCCAACCUGCCCCCAACUAAGGAAUAACCUUGCGAAAGUAAGACUAAUACCUUAUAAUUUCCUCAGAUGUCAUCUGACGAGGAAUAAAGAUUUAUCGGUUGUGGAUGGGGAUGCGUCUGAUUAGCUUGUUGGCGGGGUAACGGCCCACCAAGGCAACGAUCAGUAGGGGUUCUGAGAGGAAGGUCCCCCACAUUGGAACUGAGACACGGUCCAAACUCCUACGGGAGGCAGCAGUGCGGAAUAUUGGUCAAUGGGCGAAAGCCUGAACCAGCCAAGUAGCGUGCAGGAUGACGGCCCUAUGGGUUGUAAACUGCUUUUAUACAGGAAUAAAGUUAGCCACGUGUGGUUAUUUGUAGGUACUGUAUGAAUAAGGACCGGCUAAUUCCGUGCCAGCCGCCGCGGUAA